GAGUGUGAGAAGGAAAGUGUUCAUGUGGGAGGAGGAGGAGGAGGAGUGGAGCAGACCUCCUCCUCUCCUCCUCUGUGUGAGUGUGGAGCUCCAGAGGGAUGGACUGAUGGUUGGAGUGAAGCUGAACUGUUGGUGUUCCUGGAUGACUCUGCAGAUGUCUCACAGCGGAGGUCGAAGCAAACAGGCCGAGGUCUUCAUGUUAGAGGAGGAGGAGACGGGUGGAGGAGCAGACGGGUGGAGGAGCAGACGGGUGGAGGAGCAGACGGGUGGAGGAGCAGACAGGAACCCGUUAAAGAAGCAUCUUUUUAUUUUGUGAUUAUAGAAACAAAAAUCUUCUAAUAUCAGUCAAUAGUUAUUAGUUAUUGAUUAUUUGGUAAUAUAUCGAUAUCUCUGUGUUCUCUUCUGUCUGUGUCGUCAACAUUUGAACAUUUUUGAGCGGUCCGCUCUUUCUGACUGUAAACAAAGCCGUUCUCCACCUCCUCUAACCUGAUUGGUUGUGAGGCAGACGCUGCUCCCCCGUGUCGUUCAGGAGCCCAAACAAAGUUAGCGUGCUACAAUAUCGGACAGUAGAAACCAACCAGAAAGUUCGGAAAAUUGUCUGAAUCCUCCUUUGGCCACGACUGCCGACACAAGCAAGAAAACACUCAAACAUAAACAGUCAGCAAGAAAACAGUCAACAAGAAAACAGUCAACAAGAAAACAGUCAGCAAGAAAACAGUCAACAAGAAAACAGUCAACAAGAAAACAGUCA